rnacentral:rRNA from 1 species
GACGAACGCUGGCGGCGUGCCUAAUACAUGCAAGUAGAACGCUGAAGAGAGGAGCUUACUCUUCUUGGAUGAGUUGCGAACGGGUGGGUAACGCGUAGGUAACCUGCCUUGUAGCGGGGGAUAACUAUUGGAAACGAUAGCUAAUACCGCGUAACAAUGGAUGACACAUGUCAUUUAUUUGAAAGGGGCAAUUGCUCCACUACAAGAUGGACCUGCGUUGUAUUAGCUAGUAGGUGAGGUAAUGGCUCACCUAGGCGACGAUACAUAGCCGACCUGAGAGGGUGAUCGGCCACACUGGGACUGAGACACGGCCCAGACUCCUACGGGAGGCAGCAGUAGGGAAUCUUCGGCAAUGGGGGCAACCCUGACCGAGCAACGCCGCGUGAGUGAAGAAGGUUUUCGGAUCGUAAAGCUCUGUUGUAAGUCAAGAACGGGUGUGAGAGUGGAAAGUUCACAAUGUGACGGUAGCUUACCAGAAAGGGACGGCUAACUACGUG